GUUGAAAUUUUUUAGAGAGCUCAUAAAAUAACUUUCGUAUAUUCUUAACCAAAUUUUAGUUAAGAAAUAGAGAGCACCAUUGUGGAUGUUCUUAGUAGCAACCAUGAGGCAAAACUUGAGACAAUGCAAUCAUCAUUUUUGGAAACAGAAAAGGAAGCUGUCUGUAUAUUAGGGGAAAUAAUUAAAGUGGACUGCUCUCUGGAGAGUUUGCUUUUUGGGUUUUGUGGAGAAUGUGGUACCAACCUUCGAACCCAAGACCACUAGGCAGUGCAAGCGCACUUUAUCACAGAGGCAGGUAGAAGGCCAGUCUGGAGAGUCUACUCCCCGGAACUCAGCGCUCUCUCUCGCUCUCUCUCAUUCGCGCUCUCUGUCUCUGUCUCUGUCGUUCAUUUUCUCCAUAGAAAUCGAACUGAGAUCUCUCUCCGCUGGGUUUCUCUUUCUCAUAUCAGUUAACGAUGAAUUGGGAGAAACUUAUGAAGAUGGCCAGUGCAGUUCACACUGGUGGAAAGGGUAGCGUGAGGAGAAAGAAGAAGACUGUUCACAAGACAACUACCACAGAUGACAAAAGGCUUCAGAGCACCAUUAAGAGAAUGGGGGUGAACGCUAUUCCUGCAAUCAAGGAAGUUAACACAUUUACGAUGAUGUUGUCAUCCAGUUCAUGAACCCCAGAGGUGAAGCUAACAUGCCAGAACUCUGAUCCUGUAAAUUAUUAUUUUGAUUUUCCUUGUACAUUUCAGUUCAAACAAAGAGUAUGCCACUAUUUGUUAUCUAUCUUUUAAAUUUGAAGUGAUUAUUUGACUUGUUAA